AUACAGAAGAAGGUGUUCUCUAAGGAUCUCAAUGCUGAAAAGGAGCAGAACCAGGCAUUUCAUUUCACAGAGAAACACAAGCCGAAUAAAUGAACAAAAAAGUGAUCUCCUGGAGGAAUCAGAAACCAUACUUGUUUCAAUCCAUUUUCUUUGAUUCCCACAAGUAGCUCAGAUUAAAGGAUCAUACCAAAUGAUCACUGAUUGAAACUGUCAUGGAAUACUAAGUGAAUGCAGUGUCCUUGGUCCCAAUCAUUAAUAAUGAUUACAAUACACUGAAAAAUUUAAUUUGAAGCACAAGAAUAAAUAUGUGAUAAUGAA